GAAUAAUGAAAUGUAUAUAAAAAGGAUGUUUUUUCAGUAGCUGAGACUUCAACUAAAAUAUUUGACAACCUUCUUUAGCUGUCCAAAACAGUGUAGGUGUUAAAUUAUAUAUCUGUGUAGUAAUACCAAGAUUUGAAAUCUGGCAUUUGAUGAAAAUGGAGGCACAUUGUGAAUGGAACCUUCUGUGAAAAAGUGCAACUUUGUGACAUGAUGAUCUCACUGUAUAUACCUGAGCAGCAUAAAAGUUAUUACUGCAGCAAAGAAACAUAUCAAGAUAAUUCUGAAUCAGGUUUUUUACCAGCAUUUUGAAAAGAUUUCCUAAUGAAGAUGUGCAUGGACUAGGCAGUCACCCACCCAAGAUGACUUUUCAAGAAAGUGUUUAAAUGAUAUAAAGACAAAGUGGAAAAUGAAAAAGAUGACUAAUAGAUGGACUAAAAGGCCAUUGAUCAGUGAUCGACCUUUUCUGUGUUACAUGAAUAAAGUCAAGGUGGAUUUUAAUGUGUUUCAUGUCAGGAGCUGACUGGAAUGUGAACUGAAGAUAAAUACAAACAAAAUAUAAAUACAUAGAAUUCUGGUUAAAAAAUAUACCCUGAUUCCACCAUGACUUUUAUCUAAAAGUAUGGAUAUAUUCAUUUGAAAUUCCAGCCUGAAUUUUUUGUCAGGAUGGAUUUUAAUCAGGGUGGAUAUUUUGCUGUUUAAUUUAAAUUUUACAUGUAAAAUUCGAGCCUGAAAGUGUUCUUUAGUUAUAUUAAAAAAUGUUUAAAAUAGAAUUCUGGUUAGAACAAUUCCACCCUGACUUUUAUCUAAAUUCCAUGUCAGUCUGCCUGUAUUCCAUGUGAACUUUUCUCUUGAUUUUCCACCCAGAAUUUUUUUCAGUAUGGAUUUAAUCGGGGUGGAUAUUUUUCUGUCUAAUUUAAAUACUACAUGUAAAAUUCGAGCCUGAAAGUGUUCUUCAGUUAUAUUAAAAUUGUUUAAAAAUA
rnacentral:lncRNA from 1 species